rnacentral:rRNA from 1 species
AUUGAACGCUGGCGGCAUGCCUAACACAUGCAAGUCGAGCGGUUGAAGGGAGCUUGCUGCUGGAUUCAGCCGCGGACGGGUGAGAAAUGCCUAGAAAUCCGCCUGGUAGUGGGGGAUAACGUCCGGAAACGGGCUCUUAUACCGCAUACGUCCUGUGGGAGAAAGUGGGUGAGCUUCGGAUCUCUCGCUAUCAGAUUAGGCUAGGUCGGAUUAGCUAGUUGGUGGGGUAAAGGUCUACCAAGGCGACGAUCCGUAACUGGUCUGAGAGGAUGAACAGUCACACUGGCACUGAGACACGGCAGAGACUCCUACGGGAGGAAGCAGUGGGGAAUAUUGGACAAUGGGCGAAAGCCUGAUCCAGCCAUGUCGCGUGUAGGAAGAAGGUCUUAGGAUUGUAAAGUGAUUUAGGUUGGAAGGAAGGGCAGUAAGUUAAUACCGUACUGUAAUGACGUUACCGACAGAAUAAGCACCGGCUAACUUCGUG